CUUCCAAACGAUCUUCCAGAUGUUGAGAUGGGGGAGGACAGAGGCCAAGUGAUAAUGUCACUGUCCCUCUUUUAUACUUUCUCCCAGGUGCUAGAA